UCGUCUGAUCGCCGCCGCCUGAAACCUUACCGCCUUCGCCUGACCCCGGAACACCGACGCCAACGCCGGAGCUCCCUGAAUAAUCGACGAGGAGGGGACCUUAAACGCACAUAAUCGUGCCCUAAUCGCCUGUUUUGAGAGAAAUCCCGACCCUCGGAGCUCAGGAAGGACGAUAAUCAAGGCUAGAGAAAAAGCCUAGUCAAUCACGAAUAGAGGUACCGACCGGGACGACGGAUGCGAGUAGUGGCAAGGAUUUCGUGUUAUUAGGGUUCACCUAGUUUAAGCUUAAUUUGUACUAAGUUCAAGUAAGAAUUUUCUACUAAGUUAUGUAAGCCACUUUUGAAUAUUAAUAUAGAACA